CCAUGAUUGGAGUGGCGAAUACUGGCGAAGUAAUGCAGAUGCAACCCAUAUCAUAGAACCGUGGAAUUGAGGGAAUUGAGACGGCAAUGGGGUGAAUAAGGGACUUCAUGUCAUCUAAAUAUUUUUUAUGAAGCUGAAGGAUGAGUUUGGGUACGUCUCCUUGUUGCUGCGCUGCUGUUCUGUCCUGUGACUCUGUGCGAGCGAGUUUGCGGAAGCAUGCUUGAGAGAAGGAGGCAGAGUGGAUGAAGCGGAUAUAAAGAAAAGUACAUACUUGGACCAAUGAAUUCUUGACGACCUUGCUGACAUCCUGCCUCCAUUCAGCAACAUCAGGGUUGUAUUCAUCCAGAUUAGAAGAAAAUGCCAGCAGUUGAGACCUGAAGUGCUCUUAAAGGAAAUAAAUCAUUCCAUGAUGUAUACAGUGCCUGGUAAUUGAUUGUCACUCGAUGUAUGUUUUUGAACUUUCAGAAUUUAGACAUAAUCUCUUGGCUGGUCACAAGAAAACAUUCUCCAACAUCAAUGCUUCUUAGCCAAGCGAGUCCCCACACACUACAGACGUUCUGAAGGCGUGUGAGUGUCCUCCGAUCUCACAAGCCUAAAGCCAGAAUCGCUUUUACGGUGAGCAAUCCAGAGCAGAGGUGGGCGGGCUACCGAUCCCGGAGAACAGAGAUCAGCCCUGCCUCUUAUCCACUCUGCAUGUGCUCGGUGUCUAACCAGUAGGGUUCGCUGUUGUGUGAUGAGGAGAAGCAAUCCCUGCCGGUUUCCCAUCCCCCACCCCGGAAGCGUCAGAGCUAAUGUGGCCCCCCUUGGGGUCUCCAGCAAAGUUCGGCCUCUUUGCACAGCCUGGACGUGAACUGGCACCGUUCCAAGCUGUGUGACUCAUCCUGCACUCCCAGCGGCAGCUCUUUAACUGGAUGAGCCACUCGGGGAACCCCCAUGAUGCAUUCUUUAUAACUUCACAAACAAAAUCUACAAAAGGGGCAGAGAGGUGGACACGAUCCAGAUGACCUGUAGCUCCCUGAGAAAGCUUUUGACUGGUUCAGAAUAAAAUCCAAUGAAGAUGGGACGGAAAGGACUGAAGCAAGAAGUAUCAUCUGCUAUGAUUACAU